AACUUAUCCAGAGAGACUGAGGGACAGGCCCGAUGACGUCCAGCAACCUUCAAAUCUUUUUUUGAAAGGUGCUAAUUCCUGCAGAAUGGUUCAUUCUGAGAGAUAAGUC
rfam:Bacillus coagulans 36D1, complete genome.